GGAAAGCUGCCGGAGUGGUCGAUCGGGACUGACUCGAAAUCAGUUGUACCUAUUAUUGGUACCGGGGGUUCGAAUCCCUCGCUUUCCG
rnacentral:tRNA from 1 species